rnacentral:rRNA from 1 species
AUUGAACGCUGGCGGCAUGCCUUACACAUGCAAGUCGAACGGCAGCGCGGGGCAACCUGGCGGCGAGUGGCGAACGGGUGAGUAAUAUAUCGGAACAUACCCUAGAGUGGGGGAUAACGUAGCGAAAGUUACGCUAAUACCGCAUACGCACUAAGGUGGAAAGUGGGGGAUCUUCGGACCUCAUGCUCAUGGAGUGGCCGAUAUCUGAUUAGCUAGUUGGUGAGGUAAAGGCUCACCAAGGCAACGAUCAGUAGCUGGUUUGAGAGAACGACCAGCCACACUGGAACUGAGACACGGUCCAGACUCCUACGGGAGGCAGCAGUGGGGAAUUUUGGACAAUGGGGGCAACCCUGAUCCAGCAAUGCCGCGUGAGUGAAGAAGGCCUCGGGUU